rnacentral:tRNA from 1 species
CAGAAGAUAGUUUAAUAUAAAAUAUUAAUUUUGGGAAUUAAUGAUAGGGGCUAUCCUUUCUUCUGA